AUUUAUUAUAUGAAAAUACAAUUUCAACGUACAUUUGUUAUUUAGUUUUUCCACACUCCAUAUUUUUCUCUAUUUUGCAUUCUAUACGUACCAUGUUCUGCAACGAACAAUCCACUACCCCAAUUAUCAAAUAAACUGCAGCAGCCCACUACUGCUAUAAAAGAACAUAAUAUCUACAAUUUAUAAAUGCCAAUCAGGAUGACAGCUUCUAAGUAUUCAAAAUCCGUGGAUGGAGAAAGAGAAUGAAAAGAAAAGGAUGUUUGAAGGCAUCAAUGAGUUACGUAUUGGCUGUUGAUUUAAAGGCGACAUGGAGGAGUUGAGACGGGGCCGCGGAGGCCGGAAGGCAGACUCCUGUAUGCCUGAGCGGUGCCAUUGCUGCUGUUGUAGAAGGAAGGAUGAUUCAUACGACGAUGAGUGAUAGGAGAAAGAUGCGAAGCUGUGAGAGACCAAGAGUGAAAGAAAAGCAGAGAGAACGAGGAAACAAGAAGACGGGCCGUGCUGCGGCUGCUACCAAAGAAGGCGGGUCGGAACUGACUGUGCGGCGGCGAGAUGCCUGCAAUGGUUCUGAGAAAUGGACUUGAAGAAAAGAAUAUCAAAGAAGGGCAGCGAAAUGGUCGUAAAGAGUGAAGAUGAAGAAGCGCGGCGCCGCUUUGGGCGUGAAUGGUUUAGAUUUAGGUAUUCUUUCCUUUUCUUUUAUUGUUGUAGUUUAUAAUUUGGGCUUAAAUUUAACUGUCAUACUCUCUAAUUAUUGGGCUUAUUAGUGGUGAAUCGAAAAGGGGCAUAAUACAGAGGAAAACAUGGGAUAUAAAGGUGGCGAAAAAUCUAAAUUAGAGUCUGUCUUUUUGCAGUGCAAUUAAUUAUGCUUUUA